GAUAGGAGAAUGACAAAUUAUAUUUUUCUCCCUAAUUUUCAGCUUAUUCCCCUAAAAAAAUUCAAAUCUAACUAAAAAUGUUAAAAAUUAAGAGGAAAAAAUAUGAUUUGUCAUUUUCCUAUU
rfam:Gossypium raimondii Chr10_contig_931, whole genome shotgun sequence.